rnacentral:rRNA from 1 species
AUUGAACGCUGGCGGCAUGCCUUACACAUGCAAGUCGAACGGCAGCACGUGUGCUUACACCUGGUGGCGAGUGGCGAACGGGUGAGUAAUAUAUCGGAACGUACCUUAUUGUGGGGGAUAACGCAGCGAAAGCUGUGCUAAAACCGCAUAAUCCCUAAGGGGGAAAGCGGGGGACCGUAAGGCCUCGCGCCAUUAGAGCGGCCGAUACCUGAUUAGCUAGUUGGUGAGGUAAAGGCUCACAAAGGCAGCGAUCAGUAGCUGGUCUGAGAGGACGAUCAGCCACACUGGGACUGAGACACGGCCCAGACUCCGACGGGAGGCAGCAGUGGGGAAUUUUGGACAAUGGGGGCAACCCUGAUCCAGCAAUGCCGCGUGAGUGAAGAAGGCCUUCGGGUUGUAAAGCUCUUUUGUCAGGGAAGAAACAGCAGCUCUAACACAGUUUGCGAAUGACGGUACCUGAAGAAUAAGCACCGGCUAACUACGUGCCAGCAGCCGCCGUAA